AAUCUACCCCAAAUCCUACUUUUCUACCCUAACUCACCCUCACUCUUCUCCCAGCACUGCAGCCUUUCCCCAUACCCUAACACUCAUCAACUUCAGCUUCAGACAAAAAGAAAAGAAAGAAAGAAGAAAAGAAAGGAAGAGGGAAAGAAGGAAAGGGGGAGGAAGAGAGGGAGCCCCGUGAGAGAGGGAGAGUGCCAAGGGAGGAGGAGCUGUUCGGACAACCACUGUCGUGUCACCUGCGUCGUCGCCACUGUCAGUCGUGCCACCACCCAGCCCGCUGUCGCCACUGGUCUGCCAUGGAGCCGCCAUCGAGACACAGAACCGCGCAAGGAGAAGGAGGCGAAACCGUUGCGCCACCGUUACUGUCUUUGUCACGUGUGGAGUCAUCGUCGCUGACGAGCCUGGUCGCCGCCCAGUUGCGUCGCCGUCAUGAAGUCCUCGCCGCCGUCUUUCCCUUUGCAAAUCGUUGCCAUCAUUGGAGCAGAAGGCGAGAGAGAGAGCUCGCGGUAGGGGAAAGGGGAGGUGCCGCCGUUCUGCACAAAGCUACCGCUGCCGUCGCGCGCUUCGUUGCCUCUGUUGCUAGGAGCUGCCGCCGAGAAAAUGCCUUUACAACCGCUUUAUUCCGGCAUCCUUCCUGAGCACGGGUCGAGCUCUGAGGUUUGCAUGUCGAAUUUUAGGUUGCCAUUGAACCAACGGAGUUUCUAGACACUGUCGAAGCUACCGCCGAGUCAGUUUGGGAUUGCGGGUGCUCAGUUUUGCUGUUACCAUAGGUGUACUCUAUUUCGAACCCUCAUCGUUAGUUUUCCGUUAUGUGUUUUAAUAUUUUCGUGAUAUUAAUGUUUUUAGGAAUUAAAAAUUGAGUUUUCAUGUUGCGAUUGAGGCUGUUCUGCUAUUGGGAAAGCAAGCAGAGCUGAGGUUUUGGUUGCUGUUGAUUCUGGGCUGAGAGAAAAGAGUUCAGUUGACACGUUUGGGUUAUGGUUUCACUUAUCGAGGUAGGGGCUUUUUCAGAAAACUAAACUUUAUAAUUCGGAGUUGCUAUAUGUGGAUAUUGAUGUGAGUAAUAUACUCCUAGUGAU